GAUGAACGCUGGCGGCGUGCCUAAUACAUGCAAGUAGAACGCUGAAGGGAGGAGCUUGCUCUUUCCGGAUGAGUUGCGAACGGGUGAGUAACGCGUAGGUAACCUGCCUGGUAGCGGGGGAUAACUAUUGGAAACGAUAGCUAAUACCGCAUAACAGUAGAUGUUGCAUGAUAUCUACUUAAAAGGUGCAAUUGCACCACUACCAGAUGGACCUGCGUUGUAUUAGCUAGUUGGUGAGGUAACGGCUCACCAAGGCGACGAUACAUAGCCGACCUGAGAGGGUGAUCGGCCACACUGGGACUGAGACACGGCCCAGACUCCUACGGGAGGCAGCAGUAGGGAAUCUUCGGCAAUGGACGGAAGUCUGACCGAGCAACGCCGCGUGAGUGAAGAAGGGUUUCGGAUCGUAAAGCUCUGUUGUAAGAGAAGAACGAGUGUGAGAGUGGAAAGUUCACACUGUGACGGUAUCUUACCAGAAAGGGACGGCUAACUACGUG
rnacentral:rRNA from 1 species